rnacentral:rRNA from 1 species
UUAGACCCGAACCCCGGCGAUCUAGGCAUGGCCAGGUUGAAGGUGCAGUAACAUGCACUGGAGGACCGAACCGUUGAAUGUUGAAAAAUUCUCGGAUGAGUUGUGUUUAGGGGUGAAAGGCCAAUCAAGCCGGGAAAUAGCUGGUUCUCCGCGAAAUCUAUUGAGGUAGAGCGUCAGAUGUAUGCCGAUGGGGGUAGAGCACUGGAUGGGCUAGGGCUGCGCGAGCGGUACCAAACCUAACCAAACUCCGAAUACCAUCGAGUCUUGUCUGGCAGACAGACGGCGGGUGCUAAGGUCCGUCGUCAAAAGGGAAACAGCCCUAACCUACAGCUAAGGUCCCCAAGUCAUAUCUAAGUGGGAAAGCAUGUGGGAAUCCCAAAACAACCAGGAGGUUGGCUUAGAAGCAGCCAUCCUUUAAAGAAAGCGUAACAGCUCACUGGUCUAAAUAAGGGUUCCUGCGGCGAAGAUGUAACGGGGCUAAAGAUAUGCACCGAAGCUUAGGGUUCAUAGUUUACUAUGAGCGGUAGCGGAGCGUUCCGUAAGUGGUUGAAGCCGAAGGGUAACCGACGGUGGACAUAUCGGAAGUGCGAAUGCUGACAUGAGUAGCGAUAAAGAGGGUGAGAUACCCUCUCGCCGAAAGACCAAGGGUUCCUGCUCAACGCUAAUCGGAGCAGGGUUAGCCGGCCCCUAAGACGAGCCCGAAGGGGGUAGUCGAUGGGAACCACGUAAAUAUUCGUGGGCCUGGUGGUGUGUGACGGAUGGCGGAAGUAGUGUGUCCUUAUUGGAUUGGGCAUGCUGCCAAGUUGUUCCUGGAAAUAGCCCCACCGUAUAGACCGUACCCGAAACCGACACAGGUGGUCAGGUAGAGUAUACCAAGGCGUUUGAGAGAAGUAUCCUGAAGGAACUCGGCAAAUUGCCUCCGUACCUUCGGAAGAAGGAGGCCCCGUUAGAAGGCAACUUUUAGCGGGGGGCACAGGCCAGGGGGUAGCGACUGUUUAGCAAAAACACAGGACUCUGCUAAGUCGGCUUCAAGACGACGUAUAGGGUCUGACGCCUGCCCGGUGCUUGAAGGUUAAGAGGAGGAGUGCAAGCUCCGAAUUGAAGCCCAAGUAAACGGCGGCCGUAACUAUAACGGUCCUAAGGUAGCGAAAUUCCUUGUCGGGUAAGUUCCGACCUGCACGAAUGGCGUAACGACUUCCCCACUGUCUCCAGGAUAUGCUCAGCGAAAUUGAAUUCUCCGUGAAGAUGCGGAGUACCCGCGGUUAGACGGAAAGACCCCGUGCACCUUUACUGCAGCUUUAGAGUGGCAUUAGGAAAGAACUGUGUAGAAUAGGUGGGAGGCUUUGAAACUUGGGCGCCAGUCCGAGUGGAGCCAACCUGUGAAAUACCACCCUGUUGUUUUCUGAUGUCUAACCUAGGUCCGUUAUCCGGACCAGGGACCCUCUAUGGCGGGUAGUUUGACUGGGGCGGUCGCCUCCUAAAGAGUAACGGAGGCGCGCGAUGGUAUGCUCAGGCCGGUUGGAAACCGGCUGCGAGAGUGCAAUGGCAUAAGCAUGCCUGACUGCGAGACCGACAGGUCGAGCAGAGACGAAAGUCGGUCAUAGUGAUCCGGUGGUCCCUCGUGGAAGGGCCAUCGCUCAACGGAUAAAAGGUACGCCGGGGAUAACAGGCUGAUGAUUCCCAAGAGCUCAUAUCGACGGAAUCGUUUGGCACCUCGAUGUCGGCUCAUCACAUCCUGGGGCUGGAGCAGGUCCCAAGGGUUUGGCUGUUCGCCAAUUAAAGUGGUACGUGAGCUGGGUUCAGAACGUCGCGAGACAGUUUGGUCCCUAUCUGCCGUGGGCGUCGAUACUUGAAAGGAGUUGCCCCUAGUACGAGAGGACCGGGGUGAACAUACCUCUGGUGUACCAGUCAUGCCGCCAGGCGUGCCGCUGGGUAGCUAUGUAUGGACGGGAUAACCGCUGAAAGCAUCUAAGCGGGAAGCCUCCCUUGAGAUUAGGUAUCUUCGAACCGUCAUAGACCAUGACGUUGAUAGGCUGGGUGUGGAAGCGCAGUAAUGCGUGAAGCUAACCAGUCCUAAUAGUUCUGAUCACGCUUGAGAGUUCGCA